GGAAUCACAGCAGUGAAUCAUCCAAUAAGAUUAUCCGGAAUUCAGUUAAACUUUAAGUCUUUGAUCUCGCAUACAACAGAUUUAGAAGUGUCUCUUCUUAUGCUGGUGGCUUUUACCUUUGUUCCUUGUGGCUGUGUUCUUUUUGUUAUCACUGAAAAAACUAUGAAGGAAAGACAACUUCAGAGUAUCAGCGGCAUGACUAGCAUUACUUAUUGGACAGUUACCUUUAUUUGGGAUAUGUUCAUGUACUGCUGUACAAUUUGUUUGGGAGUUAUUUGGAUUGUGCUCGUGAAGCCAGAUUCUUUUUAUUUGAAAGACAAUUUAGCUGCAUUUUUUGUGGCCAUUCUGCU
rnacentral:sRNA from 1 species